GAUGAGCAGGGGUCCCCCCAUAGACGGUGCUCAAAUGGCGUUUUUCCACUGCUGGUAACGGCUCGGCUCGGCUCGGCCCAUUCUUCGUCCGUUUUCCAUUGCAGAUUGAGUAAAGCCUCAGCGUGGCUGGUCACCAUAGCAACGCGUGAUGAUGUAAUUUUCAGCGCGACUCACAACAGCACGUCGCAUACUCGCUGCGGCCAGAAGAAAUGUUUUGUUUCAAAAGAAGCUGAAGGAAGCAACAAAAAUCACCAAAAAUCAGUUUGGGAAUUCUGACGGAGUUCAGACGUCGACAUGACGGUUGUUCGCCAACACAAAAGGAGCAUUCACGCUUUGCAAACUCGCCGCCGCAGACUGUCCGGUGGGCGAUGUCCGACUGGUGAGAUCUCUGGCUCUGACCUACUGGACUUCGUAUAAUCUGUAUGAGAGUCACGGAGAGGCUUAUGACAACGACUGGGAUGUAUCUGGGACGGCAGAGCCGGGGGGGACACUGUCACAGGGGGCAGAGGAAGAAGACCGGGAAGUACGGGAGGGUUUGAUGCGCUACUUGAAAAGCUAAAUAAAAACUUUUCUUAUA